rnacentral:rRNA from 1 species
GAUGAACGCUGACAGAAUGCUUAACACAUGCAAGUCUACUUGAAUUUGGGUUUUUUAACUUAGAUUUGGGUGGCGGACGGGUGAGUAACGCGUAAAGAACUUGCCUCACAGCUAGGGACAACAUUUGGAAACGAAUGCUAAUACCUGAUAUUAUGAUUAUAAGGCAUCUUAGAAUUAUGAAAGCUAUAUGCGCUGUGAGAGAGCUUUGCGUCCCAUUAGCUAGUUGGAGAGGUAACGGCUCACCAAGGCGAUGAUGGGUAGCCGGCCUGAGAGGGUGAACGGCCACAAGGGGACUGAGACACGGCCCUUACUCCUACGGGAGGCAGCAGUGGGGAAUAUUGGACAAUGGACCAAGAGUCUGAUCCAGCAAUUCUGUGUGCACGACGACGUUUUUCGGAAUGUAAAGUGCUUUCAGUUGGGAAGAAAAAAAUGACGGUACCAACAGAAGAAGUGACGGCUAAAUACGUG